rnacentral:piRNA from 1 species
UAGAAUGUGUGUCAGUGGUUCUCACAAU